rnacentral:rRNA from 1 species
UACGUAGGGUGCAAGCGUUGUCCGGAAUUAUUGGGCGUAAAGAGCUCGUAGGCGGUUUGUCGCGUCUGCUGUGAAAACUCGGGGCUUAACUCCGGGCCUGCAGUGGGUACGGGCAGACUAGAGUGCGGUAGGGGAGACUGGAAUUCCUGGUGUAGCGGUGAAAUGCGCAGAUAUCAGGAAGAACACCAAUGGCGAAGGCAGCUCUCUGGGACGGUACUGACGCUGAGACGCGAAAGCGUGGGGAGCGAACAGG